rnacentral:lncRNA from 1 species
UGUAUAACAACAUAAUAUUGAGGCUUUAUAUACGCAUUCACCCAAACUAGUUUUAUUUGAACUCAAAAAGUAAAAUCCAAGAAUAAUUCUAAUUACUACUCGAUUUAGAAAACUAUCAAAAUAAUAAUUAAAAAGACAUAAACAAAGUAGAAUAAGAAAUGUUCUCUCUUGACAAGUGGUGGUGAUUUGGCCAAAUUCUCUAUGAU